rnacentral:rRNA from 1 species
AUACGGAGGGUGCAAGCGUUACUCGGAAUCACUGGGCGUAAAGCGCGCGCAGGCGGCUAUUUAAGUUGGAUGUGAAAGCCUACGGCUCAACCGUAGAACUGCAUCCAAAACUAUUUAGCUAGAGUGUGGGAGAGGAAGAUGGAAUUAGUUGUGUAGGCGUAAAAUCCGUAGAGAUAACUAGGAAUACCAAAAGCGAAGGCAAUCUUCUGGAACACUACUGACGCUGAGGCGCGAAAGCGUGGGGAGCAAACGGGAUUAGAAACCCUAGUAGUCC